rnacentral:lncRNA from 1 species
UGAGGAUGGGUUGACUUGUGAUGAGUUUAGGUUCGAUGGUGUGAUUGUUCUCGGUUCGUACAUUAGAUCUGUUUCCUGGUGGCAGUAAUUUCCGGUUCAGAUAUGUGGUUAUGGGUUUUGCGUAUUGUUUCGGUUAUUGAUGAGAUUCCAAAGCUCUUAUGGCUUCAACUAUGUUCCUACUUUCUAUCUCCUUGGUUAGUGUCAUUUCCAGUUCUCAUAUGAAGAUCCAAAUGGAUUUAAUUGUGUUAUGAUAUGGCUGGAGCCAUUGGAGAUACCGGCUGAAGUUGUGUAAGCCUUAAGGUCUCUGCUAAAUUGGUUCUUGGAAUCUUUGGAUAGAAAAUUACUUCAAGCCAACAAGCAAUAGUCUUUGACUUGUUUCUAUCUGUAGUCUGAAGAUCGACUUGCUCUUCCCCAAUGGUCGCUAUCAUCAGGACAUUC